CGAGCAAGGUAUCCACACAGAAGCUGACGAUACUCAGAGGAGAUAUUCUGGUGUUGAGAUUAAACCUGGAGAAGCCUCAGGUGGCUAGUUUUUGCUGAAUUCGUGGCAGAACGCUAACAUGGGAUGGACAAUCUAACCGGCACCAAGAUUGUCAGAGCGGGGGCAGGUGGAGGGGCAGGAGGGACUGGCAAAGUUGUGACAGAAACCGUCACCUCGACAACCAGACUGACCUCACUGCCUCCAAAGGGCGCCAGUAGUUCUGUGAUCAGCAAGACUGUGUCCUCCUCCAGCGGCUCGGCAAGUGACGCUGUGGAGAGGAGAGUUACUACCCAGAGCGGCAGCAGCAGCUAUGCCAUUACAUCCUCAAGUGGUGUCUACAUAAGUGGUGGUUCUUCAGAAGGAGAACCUGUUGGAGGAGAAGGAGGAGGGUCAAAGGUAGUCGAGGGAGGAGGAGUAGG